GGGAUAAUUCCGGAUAAAUCAUAGAAACUGGAAUGUUCUGUGAUUAAAAGCUCCGGUGCCUUAGGAUGGAUCUGCGGCCUAUCAGGUAGUAGUGGGUGUAAUGUACCUACUAGCCUACGACGGGUACGGGUUGUGAGAGCAAGAGCCCGGAGAUGGAUUCUGAGACAUGAAUCCAGGCCCUACGGGGCGCAGCAGGCGCGAAAACUUUACAAUGCGGGAAACCGCGAUAAGGGGACACCGAGUGCCAGCAUCUUAUGUUGGCUGUCCGCAUGUAUAAAUAACAUGUGUUAGCAAGGGCCGGGCAAGACCGGUGCCAGCCGCCGCGGUGACACCGGCGGCCCGAGUGGUGGCCAUUAUUAUUGGGUCUAAAGGGUCCGUAGCCGGUUUGAUCAGUCUUCCGGGAAAUCUGACAGCUCAACUGUUAGGCUUCUGGGGGAUACUGUCAGACUUGGAACCGGGAGAGGUAAGAGGUACUACAGGGGUAGGAGUGAAAUCUUGUAAUCCUUGUGGGACCACCAGUGGCGAAGGCGUCUUACCAGAACGGGUUCGACGGUGAGGGACGAAAGCUGGGGGCACGAACCGGAUUAGAUACCCGGGUAGUCCCAGCCGUAAACGAUGCUCGCUAGGUGUCUGGGAUGGUGCGACCGUUUCAGGUGCCGCAGGGAAGCCGUGAAGCGAGCCACCUGGGAAGUACGGCCGCAAGGCUGAAACUUAAAGGAAUUGGCGGGGGAGCACUACAACGGGUGGAGCCUGCGGUUUAAUUGGAAUCAACGCCGGG
rnacentral:rRNA from 1 species